ensembl:snoRNA SNORA70 Small nucleolar RNA SNORA70
CUUCAGACUCAGAAGCUGAGGACAGAACCAAAAGGGUGGGUCUGCUGUGCAGUAGCUGCAGACAGCGGCCGCCUCAGUUGCGUCUGCAGCCAGUUGCCCUGAGGGACCUUGGAGACAGCC